rnacentral:rRNA from 1 species
UAGGGAAUCUUCCGCAAUGGGCGAAAGCCUGCCGGAGCAACGCCGCGUGAGUGAUGAAGGUCUUCGGAUCGUAAAACUCUGUUAUUAGGGAAGAACAAAUGUGUAAGUAACUAUGCACGUCUUGACGGUACCUAAUCAGAAAGCCACGGCUAACUACGUGCCAGCAGCCGCGGUAAUACGUAGGUGGCAAGCGUUAUCCGGAAUUAUUGGGCGUAAAGCGCGCGUAGGCGGUUUUUUAAGUCUGAUGUGAAAGCCCACGGCUCAACCGUGGAGGGUCAUUGGAAGCUGGAAAACUUGAGUGCAGAAGAGGAAAGUGGAAUUCCAUGUGUAGCGGUGAAAUGCGCAGAGAUAUGGAGGAACACCAGUGGCGAAGGCGACUUUCUGGUCUGUAACUGACGCUGAUGUGCGAAAGCGUGGGGAUCAAACAGG